rnacentral:rRNA from 1 species
AUUGAACGCUGGCGGCAGGCUUAACACAUGCAAGUCGAGCGAGCGGCGGCCGGGUGAGUAAUGUCUGGGAAACUGCCUGAUGGAGGGGGAUAACUACUGGAAACGGUAGCUAAUACCGCAUACCAUCAGAUGUGCCCAGAUGGGCUUAGCUAGUGGGUGGGGUAAUGGUUCACCAAGGCGACUAUCCCUAGCUGGUCUGAGAGGAUGAACAGCCACACGGGAACUGAGACACGUUCCAGACGUCUACGGGAGGCAGCAGUGGGGAAUAUUGCACAAUGGGCGCAAGCCUGAGGCAGCCAUGCCGCGUGUAUGAAGAAGGCCUUCGGGUUGUAAAGUACUUUCAGCGGGGAGGCGUUACCCGCAGAAGAAGCACCGGCUAACUCCGUGCCAGCAGCCGCGGUAAUUC